rnacentral:rRNA from 1 species
AGUGAACGCUGGCGGUAGGCCUAACACAUGCAAGUCGAACGGCAACACCGUAAGAGCUUGCUCUUACGGGUGGCGGGUCGCGGACGUGUCAGGAAUGCAUCGGAAUCUACUUUUUCGUGGGGGUUAACGUAGGGAAACUUACGCUAAUACCGCAUACGCCCUACGGGUGAAAGCAGGGGAUCUUCUGACCUUGCGCGAUUGAAUGAGCCGAUGUCGGAUUAGCUAGUUGGCGGGGUAAAGGCCCACCAAGUGGACGAUCCGUAGCCGGUGUGAGAGGAUGGUCGGCCACACUGGAACUGAGACAGCGUCCAGAGGCCUACGGGAGGCAGCAGUGGGGAAUAUUGGACAAUGGGGGCAAGCCUGAUACAGCCAGACCGCGUGUGUGAAGAAGGCGUUGGGGGUGUAAAGCCCUUUUGUUGGGAAAGAAAAGCAGCAGGUUAAUACCCCGCGGUUCUGACGGUACCCAAAGAAUAAGCACCGGCUAACUUCGUG